GAGUGGCGAAAUUGGUAGACGCACCAGAUUUAGGUUCUGGCGCCGCAAGGUGUGCGAGUUCAAGUCUCCACCAUUCACCA
rnacentral:tRNA from 1 species